rnacentral:misc_RNA from 1 species
UAUACUAGGUAGUUUGGGGUUGUGAG